CAGCCGCCACGGUAAUACGAAGGGGGCAAGCGUUACUCGGAAUUACUGGGCGUAAAGCGUGCGUAGGUGGUGGUUUAAGUCCGUUGUGAAAGCCCUGGGCUCAACCUGGGAAUUGCAGUGGAUACUGGAUCACUAGAGUGUGGUAGAGGAUAGUGGAAUUUCCGGUGUAGCAGUGAAAUGCGUAGAGAUCGGAAGGAACAUCUGUGGCGAAGGCGACUAUCUGGGCCAACACUGACACUGAGGCACGAAAGCGUGGGGAGCAAACAGGAUUAGAUACCCCCGUAGUCCCUGUCUCUUAUAC
rnacentral:rRNA from 1 species